CUGGGAGACGCGAGAACCCACAGGCCUUACAGGCAGGUGGUCACUCCACUCCCUUUGAGACCAUGCUUCCCACCAAAAAAGCCCUGGGUUUGCACAUACAGAAGGGAGCCCUCCUUCCGUCACCAGAGCUCCAAGCCACCACCCUUCCCUGCUUCUGCUCCUGAGGCUGGAACCACAGUGUUAUGUAAUGCUGGCCAUGGAGAUGCAGUGUGGUCAACACAGAACUGCCCUUGAGGAGGUCACAGUUUAGAGAAA
rnacentral:lncRNA from 1 species